CCCACCAGCCAGAGCCCAAGCGAAGGGCCCGUCCGCUUGACUACUGGCCAGCUGGGCCCGCCCUUCUUCUCCUCCGCCUCCUUCUUCCUCUUCCUUUCCUUUCGUUGCCUCUCUCUCUCUCUCUCAGCGCGGAAGCCGACUCUCGGCCGGCAAACGCGAGCUCAGCCCUUCGGCGCUGACAGCCGCCGCCUCAACUGUCAGCCCCCACCAACCCCUCGCUGACCGCCCAGAACCACCAUAUUGAAUCCGGAGAACCCAGACAACCGGGUAAACCUCGUCCCGGCAGCCUCCGCGGCUCGUCAUGUGACCUGGGCGUGUGAGGGAAGAGGCGAGGCUUCAGCCGCCCAGCGAGCGAGGAAGAGGCGGCGGUGGUGGGGACGGGGGAAACCAACCAAAUAAACGCGAAAGCGGGAAGACGCCAAGCAAAUAAAUAAGGGUUGCCCAAGGAUAGCUGCUCUGUACGCCGUAUGCCUUUAAGCGGGAGGGCGUGUCAGGCCAAGUCAUUGGGUAGCACCGUCAGGCCCCUGAGGCGAGGCGAAAAGGGGAAGUAGCUGCUCUUCCGCCAUUAGUGUUACUGAGACGCCAACGCCGUUAAGCUCCUCCUUCCCGCAGCCUCUACCUCAGCCUGAGGCGAAGAAGGGAAGGAAGGGAAACUGAGUUGUUCUGGUUCGCAUUUGUCCCGUCNNNNNNNNNNNUUCAAACCAACCCGAGCGUUACAGGAACGUGACAGGAAAGAAGCAACGGAGCGUUUGCUUUUCCCUUCACUCCUGCUGCCCAGCUUCCCUGUCAUUUCGGGCGAAAAGAGGAAGGUUGUUAAAACUGAAGGCAGACGCUGUCUUGUCGAUCUUCGUAACUUGCCUUGGGAGCCUCCUUUUGGCAGACUGCAUGGCGGGGUGAAAAGACUUUAAAUAAAUAACAGGAUUCUGGACAGAGGACACUUCCUCAAGAGUGUAUGCUUGCUCUUAGAACCACACUAUUUAAUGACUCUGGAUGAAAUUUUGAGGGCAAGAAGUAACAUUUACGCAAAAACAGAAGAAGGCAAUGGCGGUGCUCCAGAUGUUGCAAGAGUGUCCCAUCAGCCGGAGUCACACUCCUGCACUACCCAGAGGGCUACAGUGACCCAGUUGAAUUUAAAAGAGUACGUAUUUAUGUCUGUGUUCAUAAUUUUUCCCCCGAACUGGUAUGAUAGCUUUUUGAUCUUCUGUUCUUAAAUGAAAAAGAAAAAGGUUCAUUUUUAUAUUUCCAUUGCCUUAAAUUUAAACAUUCUUAAUAUCCUGUUUUGAAGAGCAGGUUGGCGUAAUGGAAACGGAAAAGAAACAAAACCUGGAAGCAAAACAAACAAAUAAAUCCCUAGUGACCCAGCCUAUUUAAUGGGCA
rnacentral:lncRNA from 1 species